rnacentral:lncRNA from 1 species
CCACGAACUGAAAUUGACGGUGGGUUUCCUUCAAUUGCAGCAGCCAGGUGACAAUACUUCCAGUCUCCUAAGACCCAGACAGUUUUCAAGGACGCGCGCACCACCGAGAAAGCCGCCGAAUAAUCCCAGUCGCCCGUCCGGUUAGCGACGUCCUCCACACCCGAAAGGCCGCCGACCACAUGGAUCCCGCCCGCACACCGGUAGGUCGUUGAACACGAACUUCUCUGAUUCCGUCUACUUGUUCGUAAAACAACAACUUACGGACAUUACAGGGAGUUCAAAUAGUUUCUAGUUAAUUUGUUAAACUGUAAUUAUAUGUAGUAAUCAACUUCGUUUGAUGUUUUGGACUAUGCUUUUGGGCAAAAUUGAUAUUGUGGCAGUUCGAGAUGCACCUGCCUCUGGGUUCGUAUCUCAACUGCCAUAUGCAAUGCGCUACCAUUUUUUUCGAAGUAGGAUUAAAUUGUUUCUACUGCAUUUGUUAAUCUGUAAUUAUACGUAGUUAUCAACUUCGUUGGAUGUUUUGGAGUAUGGUUUUGGUCAAAAUUGAUAUUGUGGCUGUUCGAAAAUUUCCUGCCUCUGGGUCCGCAUCUCAACUGCCUUAUGCAUCGCGCCACCAUUUAUUUCGAAGUAGGAGUCAAUUGUUUGUAGUGUAUUUGUUAACCUGUAAUUAUAUGUAGUUAUCAAAUUCAUUGGAUGUUUUGGCGUAUGAUUUUGGGUAAAAUUGAUAUUGUGGCAGUUUGAAAUGCACUUGCCUCUGGGUUCUCAUCUCUUGCGCUACCCGUUUUUCCAAAGUAUUUGUUUGGCCGUAUACUCUUCUACGAAAUCUGUCCCUUGACCUAUAAUAUCAUAAACUGAGACUAGAAUGUUUUAUGCAAUUUCUGGAACAUAGUCUUCGUUAAACCCCUGCGCUUGUGCUCUCUGCAUUCCCCCUUAAAAUGAUAGCAUCGUUCAUUCGUCUGUUUCCAAAUUGAACUUCUGCACAAUAUCUUUUACGUGUACGUUCUUGUCAAGUUCAAAUUUUUAAUCUGUAGCUAUUUUACAGACUUCAAAUGCGUAUAAUAAAUAUUAACAUAAUUUUUUUUUUGCGUGAUAGCCGACUUGUCUUUGCAGUGUGGACAUGGCCCGCCACCCAGCUCGUUCGUUGCACAGGAGUUGGGUCAAGCCUCAGGUGCAAAAUCUUAUGCUCGGUGGAAUGCCUUGGAGACCCAAACAUUCAUUGCAGCCUGCGAG